rnacentral:rRNA from 2 species
AGGGCGCCUGAGUCGGCAGUGGCAGACGCGAAACCAAGUGAUCUACCCUUGACCAGGUUGAAGGCUGGGUAACACCAGCUGGAGGACCGAACCAAUAAGCGUUGAAAAGCUUCUGGAUGAGUUGAGGGUAGGGGUGAAAGGCUAAUCAAACUUGGAGAUAGCUCGUACUCCCCGAAAUGCAUUUAGGUGCAGCCUUGCGGGUUACUGAUGUGAGGUAGAGCGACUGAUAAGAUGCGAGGGCUUCACCGCCUAUCAAGUCUUGACAAACUCCGAAUGCGCAUCAGUCCUACCGCAGGAGUGAGGGCAUGGGUGCUAAGGUCCGUGCCCGAGAGGAGAAGAAUCCGGACCACCUGCUAAGGUCCCGAAAUGACAGCUAAGUUAAACUAACGAAGUCGGACUGCCAUGACAGCUAGGAUGUUGGCUUGGAAGCAGCCAUUCAUUUAAAGAGUGCGUAACAGCUCACUAGUCGAGGAGUCCGGCGUGGAUAAUAAUCGGGUAUGAAGUUGUCUACCGAAGCAGUGGGAUCAUGUAAAUGAUCGGUAGGGGAGCAUUCCACCCGGCGUCGAAGGCGUACCGUGAGGUAUUCUGGAGCGUGUGGAAAAGCAAAUGUAGGUAUAAGUAACGAUAAAGCAGGUGAGAAACCUGCUCGCCGCAAGACCAAGGUUUCCUGAUCAACGCUAAUCGGAUCAGGGUCAGUCGGGUCCUAAGGCUCAGCCGAACGGCGAGGCCGAUGGCAGAAACGGUUAAUAUUCCGUUACUACCUUUACGGGCGAUGUGGAGACGCAGAAGUGACAGUGCCGCCAUCUGACGGAAUAGAUGGUUGAAGGGUGUAGAAGCUGAUCGUGGCAGGCAAAUCCACCACGUGAUUCGAACCUGACAGUAUGCCGCGUCCUCCGGGACAAGGCAAUAGCGCACGUAAGCAUACUGCCGAGAAAAUCCGCUAAGCUAUACCGUAAAGGUACCCGUACCGUAAACGGACACACGUGGUCGGGAUGAAUAUUCUAAGGCGCUUGAGUGAUUCACGGUUAAGGAACUAGGCAAACUGACCCUGUAACUUCGGGAUAAAGGGUCCCUCCUCGCAAGAGAGGGCGCAGAGAAUAGGUCCAGGCAACUGUUUAACAAAAACACAGGGCUGUGCGAAAUCGAAAGAUCCGGUAUACAGCCUGACACCUGCCCGGUGCUGGAAGGUUAAGAGGAGACGUCAUCGCAAGAGAAGCGUUGAAUUGAAGCCCCAGUAAACGGCGGCCGUAACUAUAACGGUCCUAAGGUAGCGAAAUUCCUUGUCGGGUAAGUUCCGACCUGCACGAAUGGUGUAAUGAUCUGGACGCUGUCUCAACCGUGAGCUCAGUGAAAUUGUAGUAUCGGUGAAGAUGCCGAUUACCCGCGAUGGGACGAAAAGACCCCGUGAACCUUUACUAUAGCUUAUCAUUGAAUUUGGGCACGUGAUGUGUAGGAUAGGUCGGAGGCUUUGAAGCAGGUACGCCAGUAUUUGUGGAGCCGCUGUUGAAAUACGACCCUUCAUUUGUUUGAGUUCUAACUCGUGAUGCGAGGACACUGAUUGGUGGGUAGUUUGACUGGGGUGGUCGCCUCCAAAAGUGUAACGGAGGCUUCUAAAGGUGCCCUCACGGCGAUUGGUAACCGCCGGGAGAGUGUAAUGGCAUAAGGGCGCUUGACUGGGAGACUCACAAGUCGAGCAGGUAGGAAACUAGAGCAUAGUGAUCCGGUGUUUCCGUAUGGAAGGGACAUCGCUCAAAGGAUAAAAGGUACUCCGGGGAUAACAGGCUGAUCCCUCCCAAGAGCUCAUAUCGACGGAGUGGUUUGGCACCUCGAUGUCGGCUCGUCACAUCCUGGGGCUGGAGAAGGUCCCAAGGGUUGGGCUGUUCGCCCAUUAAAGUGGCACGCGAGCUGGGUUCAGAACGUCGUGAGACAGUUCGGUCUCUAUCUAUCGUGGGCGUAUGAAAUUUGCGUGGCUCUGACACUAGUACGAGAGGACCGUGUUGGACUGACCUCUGGUUUACCGGUUGUGCCGCCAGGUGCAUCGCCGGGUAUCCAAGUCGGGAUCGGAUAAGUGCUGAAAGCAUCUAAGUACGAAGCCGGCCACAAGAUUAGAUUUCUCAGGGUCGUUGCAGACGACGACGUUGAUAGGAUGCAGGUGUAAAGAUGGAGACAUCAAAGCCGAGCAUUACUAAUUGCCCGUUCACUUUCUUUA